rnacentral:rRNA from 1 species
GAUGAACGCUGACAGAAUGCUUAACACAUGCAAGUCGAUUCGAUUUACCUUCGGGUAUUGAGGAUGGCGGACGGGUGAGUAACGCGUAAGGAACUUGCCUCUUGGUCUGGGACAACUGUUGGAAACGACAGCUAAUACCGGAUAUUAUGAGAUUCUCGCAUGGGAAACUUAUGAAAGCUAUAUGCGCCAAGAGAGAGCCUUGCGUUCCAUUAGCUAGUUGGUGGGGUAACGGCCCACCAAGGCGACGAUGGAUAGCCGGCCUGAGAGGGUGAACGGCCACAAGGGGACUGAGACACGGCCCUUACUCCUACGGGAGGCAGCAGUGGGGAAUAUUGGACAAUGGACCAAAAGUCUGAUCCAGCAAUUCUGUGUGCACGAUGAAGGUCUUCGGAUUGUAAAGUGCUUUCAGUUGGGAAGAAGCAAGUGACGGUACCAACAGAAGAAGCGACGGCUAAAUACGUGCCAGCAGCCGCGGUAAUACGUAUGUCGCAAGCGUUAUCCGGAUUUAUUGGGCGUAAAGCGCGUCUAGGCGGAAAAAUAAGUCUGAUGUUAAAAUGCGGGGCUCAACUCCGUAUUGCGUUGGAAACUGUUUUUCUAGAGUACUGGAGAGGUGGGCGGAACUACAAGUGUAGAGGUGAAAUUCGUAGAUAUUUGUAGGAAUGCCGAUGGAGAAGUCAGCUCACUGGACAGANACUGACGCUAAAGC